ensembl:misc_RNA predicted gene, 24139
GGAUGUGAGGGCGGUCUGGCUGCGACAUCUGUCACCCAUUGAUCACCAGGGUUGAUUCGGCUGAUCUGGCUGGCUAGUCGGGUGUUCCCUUCCUCCCUCACCACUCCAUGUGCGUCCCUCCCGGACGACCUUCCCCGAAUAGAGGAGGACCGGUCUUUGGUCAAGAGUAUACAAGUAGCUGUGCUCCCCUGCCUGAACCUCCAAACAAGCUCUCAAGAAACCCAAGCUGAAGAGAUGGCUCAGUGGUUAAGCAGAUUAGAUGCUCUUCCUGAGACCUGAGUCCAAUUCA